AAGGUAAGGAACCCUCACUGUGCAGCUGUAUUGUGCUGAAUGCUGGACAUACAGAUGUAAAUGAUAUGAAGUCUUUACACAGAUGGAACUCAUGGUCUAAUAUCCAUAUGUGCUGUAUGAAUUUAGAUUGUAAGCCCCUUUGCCUUUUGCGGGGGCAUGGUUAAAACACUUUAUUUAGGGUCCUGCAUAUAAAACAAUAUACUUAGUGCUCUUUGGUGCCAACUUUGCCAAAAUAAUGGCUAUUCAUUCGAGGGCCAUUCUACUUCAUCAUGUGAAGCUCCACUGGUGUCUAGUUUUGUGGGACCAGAAGUUGACAAAAUUUAUAUUUCUUCCAGGAUAAAACUGGUCACUUGGAAAAGACUAGAUGAUUAUCCUAAGAUUUCUCAGUAGGAAGAAUUUUGUCCUUUCCUCUCAUUUGGUCUUUGCCUCUAUCUUCUGCCUCUAGCUUCUGUUUUGUUCAUCUGUUCCCAAGCUUUUGUGUAAGUACAGGUCCUCGGGCCUCAGUAUGAGAAGGUCUAGCCUCUCCUGUCUUCUCAGGACCACAGCUGAGAUGUCUUUUUAUCCAGACAGGAGAAAAAAGAGGUGGAAAGAAGAAAUGAAGUCCUGAUCUUACAUGGCUUGUCCCUGGCAUCUGACCCUUGUUUUGGAACACUCUCUUGACCUGCUCUUAUUCCUGUGUAUCUGCCCCAGUACUUGCUGUUGACUAUCCUAUCUUGAGGACAUUUCCCCUAAAGGUCUUUUUCAUCCAUCUUUUUUUUCCUGAAUUUUAGUAACAGCUUUAUUGAGAUACAAUUCACAUACCACACAACUCACAUCUGUAAAGUGCACAAUUAGGUGGUUUUUAGUGUAUAUUCAGAGUUAUGCAACCUUUACCACUCAUUCCAGAACAUUUUCAUUACCCUUAAAAGAAGCCCCAUACUCCUUAGCCAUCACCCCCAAACCAGUCCUAAACAACCCACUAAUCUACUUUCUGUCUCUCCGAAUAUGCCUAUUCUGAAUGUUUCAUAAAAAUAAGGUUAUACAGUGUAUGUCUUUUGCGUCUGACUUCUUUCGCUUAGCAUAAUGUUUCAAAGUUUAUCCAUACUGUAGCAUGUGCCAGUACUUCAUUUCUUCUUAAGGUUGAAUAAUACUCCAUUGUAUGGAUAUGCCAGCAUUUGUUUAUGCAUUCAUCCAUUGAUGGACAUGUGAGUUGUUUCCACCUUUUGGCAAUUGUAAAUAGUGCUGCUAGGAGCACUUUUGUACAAAUUUUUGUGUGCAUGUGUGUUUUCAUUUCUCUUGAGUAUAUAUAUAUUAGGGAGCAGAAUUGCUGGGUCAAAUCGUAACUCUACGUUUAACCUUCAGAAGAACUGCCAGACUGUCUUCCAAAGUGCCUCUGUCCACCUUUUUAAAUGUUGCUGUUUCUCUUUUCUUUUUAACUACCAUUGAUAUUUUCCAAAUUUCCACUUCCAGCUCAGAUUCCCCUCUGAGCUGCCUAUGAAUAUCUCCACCUGGGCGUCCCACAGACUCUUCAACCUAACAGUGCAAAAUGGAAUGUAUCAUAUCCUCCCUACCCCAUACUCUCUUCCCUCCUUCUCCCUUGUUGUCUAUCCCAGCAUAUGUUACAGUAGUCUAGCCAGUUGCCCAAAUGCCAGACAGAUACUAGAUUCUUGCCCCUUCCUCAUUCUCCACAUCCAAUUCAUUACUAAAUUCUAAAAGUUCCAUCUUCUCAAUAAUUCUCCAGGGUGGGGGACGGUGGCUCACGCCUGUAAUCCCAGCACUUUGGGAGACUGAGGAGGGCAGAUCACCUGAGGUCGGAAGUUCGAGACCAGCCUGAUCAACAUGGAGAAACCCCAUCUCUACUAAAAAUACAAAAUUAGCCAGACAUGGUGGCGCAAGCCUGUAAUCCUAGCUACUUGGGAGGCUGAGGCAGGAGAAUCGCUUGAACCCAGGAGGCAGAGGUUGUGGUGAGCCGAGAUCACGCCAUUGCACUGCAGCUUGGGCAACCAGAGCGAAACUCCAUCUCAAAAA
rnacentral:lncRNA from 1 species